rnacentral:lncRNA from 1 species
CGGGAGGCUCGAGCGCGGCACGAGCGCGGCCGGCGCGGGGAACUGUGGUUACCACGGAGAUCCUUGCCGGGAGCACGUUUUCAGGCGCCUGCCGUGGUUUGGUGGAGCCCCACAAACAAUAGUGAUGACUUGGGGGAACACCGAAACGCCGGGGACGGCCCCGCUCCCGCUCGCCGCACUAGCCCCUGCCCGCUGCCCUCUUUUGAGGGGACUAACCGGUGGCCUUAAUAGCAAACUGGAAAGCCGUUUUAUUUCAUAGGAACAUAUUACAACCAACAAGGAAAGGAGAUAAGGGAAUGCGCCUGUAGCUCCAGAUCAAAUCGCUGGCUCUCCCCUCUCCCCGGGUCACCAGGAUCCACACAGUCCUUGAAGAUGAGGAGCGCUGGAAGAUUGUGGCCUGGCCACCCCUUACGUCAUGAAAGUGAUUUGUACCACAUUGCUAAUUUGGUGCAAUUCAUAACCUUCUGAUCUCCUAUGUUUGCAACUGCUUUUCAGUUCGGAGGAUAUGUUUUUGGGGAUGUAGUUCCCGAGUGUAGGAAUUAAGACUGAUCACCUAUGUGCAGGAAAGGAUCUUAUUUCCCAAUGUUUGUUGCU